ACUUGGGUUAAAAACAUAAGAACUACAUUGGGCCGAACUCCAAGAACAACAUAACAAUACACAACUCUAUUCUACAGUAUUCUCAACUACCACAAAUAUACUCGUUUUUCUGGAAUUGCGUUUCAUUUCGAGGAUACAGAGAAAGAAACUGUAGCAGUAAUUCAUUCAAGUUCCAAUUUUGCGCCAAUUUCACUCUAAGUUUUAUCAGCGGAAGUAUAAAUUGCUGAAUUGUUUGAAGAAAAAUGGAGAAUGAUAGAAAACCACCCCCAAUUUUUUGUUUGAAAUGGCCAUGGGAUAAUAAUGCCAUUAGCCAACACCAGAAAAACCCUAGAAAUAGUCCUUGUGAUUUCGAUACACCUUGGGUCUUCAAAUCAUUACAAACCCUAGGAACCCUUUCUUUCAAUUUCAUCAGUUCAAUUUCAAAAAACCCUUCAAACAACAAUUCCCCACUUAAAAAUUCCCUAUUCAAUUUCGCUGGUUUUUGGCAGAACAAUAAAAUUAGCAAUGAGGUUGAUGUUAGAAGCCCCAAUAGUGGUUUGGAAGUGAAGAAGAAGCAACCUUUGAGAAAGGGUUUAACCCCAGAAGAACAAGCGGAAGCGGAGCAGAGAGCUUUUGCAAUGGCAUUGGCUAGUGGGAAAGAGGCAACAGUUCUUGAGUUUUAUUCCCCUAAUUGUAGACUUUGCAAUUCCCUUCUCGGGUUUGUGACAGAAGUUGAGAAUCGCAAUGCUGAUUGGCUUAACAUUGUCAUGGCUGAUGCUGAGAAUGAGAAAUGGCUACCUGAGCUUCUUCAUUAUGAUAUAAAGUAUGUUCCUUGCUUUGUUAUCAUGGACAAGCAUGGGAGGGCGUUGGCUAAGACUGGUGUUCCUAGCAGUAGGCUACAUGUAGUUGCAGGCAUUUCCCAUCUUCUGAAAUUGAAACGUCCUCAACAGCAUUGAAUACCAGAAUAUAGUAUGCUCAUACACUGUAUACUGGAUAUCUAUUUCUCAUUGCUCCUCAACAUUAUCCAUUGGUGAAAGUAAUGAGAGUAAGGGUUGAUGAGCUGCUUAAUACCCUUGAGUUACACUAUAAGUUCUUCCAAGCAUCUUUUUGCAAGGGAAUAGACUAGAAGUUGACCUUCUUGCCCUACAUUGGUGGACAGUUUAUCCAUAAAGCGUACACUGAAGCUCUUCAGGUGUCGGUAAUCCCUUCUCAUCUGCUUGUUUUAUCUCUUUUGAAUGAUACAGGUUAUUUUAUAGUGUAUAGCUUUAGAAAAUCUGAUCUCUUGACUGAGCAUUGUUUUCUUAGCUUAGCAAAGAUGCACUGAACUGCUAAUAUUUAGCUUAAUUGAAAAUCUGAGUGAAAUCAUUGGAUAGGUCAUGCGCAAGACACAGUCUGAAAGAGUUGUGAAUUGUGAUAUAUUUUGUAGGAGAUAAAGUGGAUUUUGUACGUAACUGAUACAUACAUAUAUGUGACAUUGUCGGACAUAGCUAUGUGAAUUGGAGGUAUCUCCUUUGCCAUCGUACCCCCA